CGAGUAUCCAGAAAUUGUACCCAACGCAAAAACAAGGCUCAUGUGUUCAUGUGCUGUAUCCUCCGGAUUCCAGCCAGAGUGGAUUCUGGAGUCUUCCACGCUCCUGUCAGUGAUCCUCCAUCUGGAUGGAUGAGAACAACCUUCUGAACAACCUAGCAGGUGGAGAUUGCCCAUAUCUAUGGGACUGAUUUCUGCUAAUAACGCCCAUUGUAUGGACUGAUAACAGUACCCAGCAUACACCUCUCCCUCCA
ensembl:lncRNA